UAUAAGGGAUUUUGAGUUUUUGCUUGUAACGUUUGACCACUCGUCUUAUUCAAAUUAUUUUUGCAAAUAUAAAAAACGAAAAGUUGUGCUUAAAGUACAGUAGAUAAUAAAGUAAGUCACAAAUAAAAUAAAUAAUAAUUUCAAAAAAAUUUGAAUAAGACGAGUGGUCAAACGUUGCAAGUAAAAACUCAAAAUCCCUUAUA
rnacentral:pre_miRNA from 1 species